rnacentral:misc_RNA from 1 species
AAGUCGUAACAAGGUUUCCGUAGGUGAACCUGCGGAAGGAUCAUUAGCUUAGGAAGGGAGGAUGGAUGGGGGUAGAGAGGAGCCCAAGGGGGUAACUCCAAGACUCUUCGAUACUCAAUCCAACCCAACCCAACCCAACCCAACCCCAACCCACGUGAACAUGGAUAAUGUCUGUGAUGAUGGCGGCAGUGCUAGUGUGUGUGAGCUGCUACGCUUGCAUGGAUGAACAUUGCCGACAUUGUCAAUCACAAACCUUGUACAUUGUGCAAAAUCAUUAUAUUAUAUCUAAUCAAAACACACAACUUUUAACAAUGGAUCUCUUGGCUCCU